CACGUAGGGCGCAAGCGUUGUCCGGAAUUAUUGGGCGUAAAGAGCUCGUAGGCGGUCUGUUGCGUCCGCUGUGAAAACUCGGGGCUUAACCCCGAGCCUGCAGUGGAUACGGGCAGACUAGAGGUAGGUAGGGGAGAAUGGAAUUCCCGGUGUAGCGGUGAAAUGCGCAGAUAUCGGGAGGAACACCGGUGGCGAAGGCGGGACUCUGGGCCGAUACUGACGCUGAGGAGCGAAAGCGUGGGGAGCAAACAGG
rnacentral:rRNA from 1 species